rnacentral:rRNA from 1 species
UACGUAGGGUGCGAGCGUUAAUCGGAAUUACUGGGCGUAAAGCGUGCGCAGGCGGUUUCUUAAGUCAGAUGUGAAAGCCCCGGGCUUAACCUGGGAACUGCGUUUGAAACUGGGAGACUUGAGUGUAGCAGAGGGGGGUGGAAUUCCACGUGUAGCAGUGAAAUGCGUAGAUAUGUGGAGGAACACCGAUGGCGAAGGCAGCCCCCUGGGUUAACACUGACGCUCAUGCACGAAAGCGUGGGGAGCAAACAGG